AACACCAUGUUUCAGCUCUGGAAUGGAAGACGGUGUGAGUACGGAGCUGGCUAGAGUGCGGAGCUGGCUGCUGGGCUUCUAUAACGGGCGCCGUGGGCACUCGGGUGCCGUUUCGGAAUUCUUUCUUGGGAUA